UGAAGUGUGCCUCGCAUACCCCUGCCACUCGAGCAGGGGGCCGCGGGUUCGAGUCCCGCCACGUCCUCCA
rnacentral:tRNA from 1 species